CAAAUAUAUUACUACUGGAUCCAGAGAUGGCAUCAGUGAAGCUGGAAGACUGCAGUCAAACACUGGAGCUGAAUGUCAACAUUAAAGAUGAUGAAGAGGAAGAGAAGAUUGGGAAAUCUGUUUCUCAUGGAGACCACGUUGAGACAUUCUCUACAUCCAGAGAGCAACAGAGGGAAGAUCACAGAGCUAACAGGUCUCACCACUGCCCACAUUGUGAGGAGAUUUUCCCAAUUCUAUCAAAGCUAAAAAUACACCAAAAAAUACACACAGGACAGAAUCCGUAUUCCUGUAUUGACUGUGGGAAGAGAUUCACAACAUCAGGGAAUCUGACGGUUCAUCAGAGAGUGCACACUGGAGAGAAGCCUUACUCCUGCUCUGACUGUGGGGCGAGUUUCUCUCGACUGGGCCACUUAAAAACACAUGAACAUAUACAUACAGGAGUGAAGCCUUACUUCUGCUCUGAUUGUGUAAAAUGCUUCACAACAUCAGCUGAGCUAAAAGUUCACCAGAGAACACACACAGGAGAGAAGCCUUUCUUCUGCUCUGACUGUGGAAAGAGUUUCUCUCAACUUUCCCACUUAAAAACACAUG